AGGGGUCAGACCACCAGCACCUUCUCCUGUAGCUAAAACGGCAAAGCCAGCGGAAGCACCGGCUGCGACGGCGACAUUGCGCGCAGGUGGCAGUAUAGAAGCCAAAAUGGAAUCUUCUAGAAGUGGUUUCUGGAAAAUAAGUACAUAUACACAAGUAAGCAAGCACAAGAAUCUGAAAAACCACAGGUGAAGAUAUAAAACACUUUCAGCACCCCUGAGGAUUUCCUCCUUUUGCCUUUCUGGUCAGUUUUCAUCCCACUUCCAACCUGAAGGUAACCACAUUAUGAUUUCUAAAAACUCCAUCUGCUAGUUUUGUCUGCUCUUAAGCAUCAUAUAAGUAGUAAAUAGAAGGGACUCAUGUAUAUGUCUUCUUGUACAUAACAUUGUCUAUGAGAUUCAGCCAUGUUGUAGUGUAUAUUUGUAGUUUGUGCUAGUCUGUUGCUGAAUAGUAAUUCCAUUGUAUGGAUAUACCAAAAUUUGUUUAUCCAUUCUCCUGUUCAAUCUUUGAAUUGUUUCAA